GAUGAACGCUGGCGGCGUGCCUAAUACAUGCAAGUCGAACGCAUUGUGGUUGAAAUGAUAUGAAGAACUUGUUCAGAUUUGAUUUUCAACAUUGCAAUGAGUGGCGAACGGGUGAGUAACACGUGGGAAACCUACCUCUUAGCAGGGGAUAACAUUUGGAAACAAAUGCUAAUACCGUAUAAUAAUUAAAACCGCAUGGUUUUAGUUUAAAAGAUGGUCUUGCUAUCACUAAGAGAUGGUCCCGCGGUGUAUUAGUUAGUUGGUGAGGUAAUGGCUCACCAAGACAAUGAUACAUAGCCGAGUUGAGAGACUGACCGGCCACAAUGGGACUGAGACACGGCCCAUACUCCUACGGGAGCAGCAGUAGGAAUCUUCCACAAUGGACGAAAGUCUGAUGGAGCAACGCCGCGUGUGUGAUGAAGGGUUUCGGCUCGUAAAACACUAGUUGUAAGAGAAGAAUGACAUUGAGAGU
rnacentral:rRNA from 1 species